AUUGAACGCUGGCGGCAGGCUUAACACAUGCAAGUCGAGCGGAGUGAUGGUGCUUGCACUAUCACUUAGCGGCGGACGGGUGAGUAUCGUCUGGGAAACUGCCCGAUGGCGGGGGAUAACUACUGGAAACGGUAGCUAAUACCGCAUAACGUCGCAAGACCAAAGUGGGGGACCUUCGGGCCUCACACCAUCGGAUGUGCCCAGAUGGGAUUAGCUAGUAGGUGGGGUAAUGGCUCACCUAGGCGACGAUCCCUAGCUGGUCUGAGAGGAUGACCAGCCACACUGGAACUGAGACACGGUCCAGACUCCUACGGGAGGCAGCAGUGGGGAAUAUUGCACAAUGGGCGCAAGCCUGAUGCAGCCAUGCCGCGUGUAUGAAGAAGGCCUUCGGGUUGUUAAGUACUUUCAGCGGGGAGGAAGGCGGUGAAGUUAAUAGCUUCACCGAUUGACGUUACCCGCAGAAGAAGCACCGGCUAACUCCGUGCCAGCCGCCGCAGUAG
rnacentral:rRNA from 1 species